UACAGAGGGUGCGAGCGUUAAUCGGAAUUACUGGGCGUAAAGCGUGCGUAGACGGUUAUUUAAGUCGGGUGUGAAAGCCCCGGGCUCAACCUGGGAAUUGCAUUCGAGACUGAAUAGCUAGGGUACGGUAGAGGGAAGUGGAAUUUCCGGUGUAGCGGUGGAAUGCGUAGAUAUCGGAAGGAACAUCAGUGGCGAAAGCGACUUCCUGGACCAGUACCGACGUUCAGGCACGAAAGCGUGGGGAGCAAACAGG
rnacentral:rRNA from 1 species